CAGCCGCCGCGGUAAAACGUAGGUGGCAAGCGUUGUCCGGAAUUAUUGGGCGUAAAGCGCGCGUAGGCGGUUUUUUAAGUCUGAUGUGAAAGCCCACGGCUCAACCGUGGAGGGUCAUUGGAAACUGGAAAACUUGAGUGCAGAAGAGGAGAGUGAAAUUCCACGUGUAGCGGUGAAAUGCGUAGAGAUGUGGAGGAACACCAGUGGCGAAAGCGGCUCUCUGGCUUGUAACUGACGCUGAGGCUCGAAAGCGUGGGGAGCAAACAGGAUUAGAUACCCCAGUAGUCCCUGUCUCUUAUAC
rnacentral:rRNA from 1 species